rnacentral:rRNA from 1 species
GACGAACGCUGGCGGCGUGCUUAACACAUGCAAGUCGAACGAUGAACCCGGAGCUUGCUCCGGCUGAUUAGUGGCGAACGGGUGAGUAACACGUGAGUAACCUGCCCUUGACUCUGGGAUAACUGCAAGAAAUGGUAGCUAAUACCGGAUACGACCCUCGGCGGCAUCGCCAGGGGGUGGAAAGAAUUUCGGUCAAGGAUGGACUCGCGGCCUAUCAGCUAGUUGGUGAGGUAAUGGCUCACCAAGGCGACGACGGGUAGCCGGCCUGAGAGGGUGACCGGCCACACUGGGACUGAGACACGGCCCAGACUCCUACGGGAGGCAGCAGUGGGGAAUAUUGCACAAUGGGCGCAAGCCUGAUGCAGCAACGCCGCGUGAGGGAUGACGGCCUUCGGGUUGUAAACCUCUUUUAGUAGGGAAGAAGCGAAAGUGACGGUACCUGCAGAAAAAGCACCGGCUAACUACGUGCCAGCCGCCGCCGUAA